rnacentral:RNase_P_RNA from 1 species
GAGUCGGCCGGGCAGCCGCUCCCUUGACCUUAGGUUUGGGGGGAGGAAAGUCCGGGCUCCAUAGGGCAGGGUGCCAGGUAACGCCUGGGCGGCGCGAGCCGACGGCUAGUGCCACAGAAAAUAUACCGCCCCCUCGCAGGGGUAAGGGUGAAAUGGUGCGGUAAGAGCGCACCGCGCCUGUGGUAACACAGGUGGCAGGGUAAACCCCACCCGGAGCAAGACCAAAUAGGAACCCUGAUAGGUGCGGCCCGCACUGGGUUCGGGUAGGUUGCUUGAGGCGUUCGGCGACGGACGUCCCAGAUGAAUGGCUGUCCACGACAGAACCCGGCUUACAGGCCGACUCU